rnacentral:tRNA from 1 species
GGGUAUUUAGCUUAGUGGCACAGUGCCUGUCUCACAAGCACCAAAUUCUUGGGUUCAAUCCCCAGUAUCCCCC